rnacentral:SRP_RNA from 1 species
GCCGGGCGCAGUGGCGGGCGUCUGUAGUCCCAGCUACUCGGGAGGCUGAGGCAGGAGAAUGGCAUGAACCCGGGAGGCGGAGCUUGCAGUGAGCUGAGAUCCGGCCACUGCACUCCAGCCUGGGCGACAGAGUGAGACUCUGUCUAAAAAAAAAAAAAAAAAAAAAAAGAAUCUUGCUCUGUUGCCCAGGUUGGAGUGCAAUGGCACGAUCUCAGCUCACUGCAACCUCCACCACCCUGGUUCAAGCACUUCUCCUGUCUCAG